GUCCCAGUAGCUCAAUUGGAUAGAGCAUCCCCCUCCUAAGGGGAAGGUUUGUGAGUUCGAACCUCGCCUGGGACACCA
rnacentral:tRNA from 15 species